GACGAACGCUGGCGGCGUGCCUAAUACAUGCAAGUCGAACGAACUCUGGUAUUGAUUGGUGCUUGCAUCAUGAUUUACAUUUGAGUGAGUGGCGAACUGGUGAGUAACACGUGGGAAACCUGCCCAGAAGCGGGGGAUAACACCUGGAAACAGAUGCUAAUACCGCAUAACAACUUGGACCGCAUGGUCCGAGUUUGAAAGAUGGCUUCGGCUAUCACUUUUGGAUGGUCCCGCGGCGUAUUAGCUAGAUGGUGGGGUAACGGCUCACCAUGGCAAUGAUACGUAGCCGACCUGAGAGGGUAAUCGGCCACAUUGGGACUGAGACACGGCCCAAACUCCUACGGGAGGCAGCAGUAGGGAAUCUUCCACAAUGGACGAAAGUCUGAUGGAGCAACGCCGCGUGAGUGAAGAAGGGUUUCGGCUCGUAAAACUCUGUUGUUAAAGAAGAACAUAUCUGAGAGUAACUGUUCAGAUAUUGACGGUAUUUAACCAGAAAGCCACGGCUAACUACGUGCCAGCAGCCGCGGUAAUACGUAGGUGGCAAGCGUUGUCCGGAUUUAUUGGGCGUAAAGCGAGCGCAGGCGGUUUUUUAAGUCUGAUGUGAAAGCCUUCGGCUCAACCGAAGAAGUGCAUCGGAAACUGGGAAACUUGAGUGCAGAAGAGGACAGUGGAACUCCAUGUGUAGCGGUGAAAUGCGUAGAAUAUAUGGAAGAACACCAGUGGCGAAGGCGGCUGUCUGGUCUGUAACUGACGCUGAGGCUCGAAAGUAUGGGUAGCAAACAGGAUUAGAUACCCUGGUAGUCCAUACCGUAAACGAUGAAUGCAAGAGUGGUUGGAGGGUUUCCGCCCUUCAGUGCUGCAGCUAACGCAUUAAGCAUUCCGCCUGGGGAGUACGGCCGCAAGGCUGAAACUCAAAGGAAUUGACGGGGGCCCGCACAAGCGGUGGAGCAUGUGGUUUAAUUCGAAGCUACGCGAAGAACCUUACCAGGUCUUGACAUACUAUGCAAAUCUAAGAGAUUAGACGUUCCCUUCGGGGACAUGGAUACAGGUGGUGCAUGGUUGUCGUCAGCUCGUGUCGUGAGAUGUUGGGUUAAGUCCCGCAACGAGCGCAACCCUUAUUAUCAGUUGCCAGCAUUAAGUUGGGCACUCUGGUGAGACUGCCGGUGACAAACCGGAGGAAGGUGGGGAUGACGUCAAAUCAUCAUGCCCCUUAUGACCUGGGCUACACACGUGCUACAAUGGAUGGUACAACGAGUUGCGAACUCGCGAGAGUAAGCUAAUCUCUUAAAGCCAUUCUCAGUUCGGAUUGUAGGCUGCAACUCGCCUACAUGAAGUCGGAAUCGCUAGUAAUCGCGGAUCAGCAUGCCGCGGUGAAUACGUUCCCGGGCCUUGUACACACCGCCCGUCACACCAUGAGAGUUUGUAACACCCAAAGUCGGUGGGGUAACCUUUUAGGAACCAGCCGCCUAAGGUGGGACAGAUGAUUAGGGUG
rnacentral:rRNA from 1 species